AACGCACAUUGCGCCCCUCGGUAUUCCGUGGGGCAUGCCUGUUCGAGCGUCAUCUACACCCUCAAGCUCUGCUUGGUGUUGGGCGUCUGUCCCGCCUCUGCGCGCGGACUCGCCCCAAAUUCAUUGGCAGCGGUCUUUGCCUCCUCUCGCGCAGCACAAUUGCGUCUGCGAGGGGGCGUGGCCCGCAUCCACGAAGCAACAUUACCGUCUUUGACCUCGGAUCAGGUAGGGAUACCCGCUGAACUUAA
rnacentral:misc_RNA from 3 species